rnacentral:rRNA from 1 species
CCUACGAGAGGCAGCAGUGAGGAAUAUUGGUCAAUGGACGAGAGUCUGAACCAGCCAAGUAGCGUGAAGGAUGACUGCACUAUGGGUUGUAAACUUAUUUUAUAAAGGAAUAAAACGAGGCACGUGUGCCUUUUGGCAUGUACUUUAUGAAUAAGGAUCGGAUAACUUCGGGCCAGGCGGCGGGGGAAAUCGGAGGAGUCGAGCGUUAACCGGAUUUAGUGGGUUUAAAGGGAGGUGAGAUGGGUUUGUUAUUUAGUUGGGAAAGUUUGCGGCUCAACCUUAAAAUUGCAAUUGAUACUGGCAAUCUUGAGUACAGUUGAGGUAGGCGGAAUUCGUGGUGUAGCGGUGAAAUGCUUAGAUAUCACGAAGAACCCCGAUUGCGAAGGCAGCUUACUAAACUGUGACUGACAUUGAGGCUCGAAAGUGUGGGUAUCAAACAGGAUUAGAUACCCGAGUAGUC